CCUAAUUUGUCAAUUUUUGUCAUAAAUGAACAAUGAGUAAUGAACUUCAUUUUAUGAUUCCGUCAAUUGAAUCUCGACGAAAUAUGGUCCGAAGCACUGAGCCUCUGAGGUUUUCAGUUCAUACACAAUUUUCAAAUACGCUGACAAGAUAACCACUAAUGGCAGCAGUGUAUAUCUCAGAAGCGCGAAAAGCUCACAAUGAGCUCACGAAAAGCUCACAAAAGCUCACACUGCCUCGUUUGUGCCCAGCCUGGUAAUUCAAGUCUAAACCUCAAACUAUAAGCCUGCAAAGGAUGAUGGAACAACUCUUAUUCGCUUAGCGCCUUCAUAGCAAGUAACCCGGUCUCUUGUGGGUCAUUCUACGAACCUAAACGUGCUAUAAACAAUAUCCCUUUAGCUGUCGAGGUUUUAGGGGAAAAAACUAUUUUUUGUUACCUAAAGCCAAUCCUAUUUUGUCGUUUAUCGUUAGUAUAAUUAAUUUCUUAAACAAACGUGACCUCCCAUUGAUAGAAAUUGCGAAACAUGGCCGUUCAAUGUAGUUCAAACAGCGAAGAUUCUUAGUUACAUUGCAGCUGUUACCUGUUUUAAGACCCCACAAAUAGGUUCUGUAAAAAAUGAAAAAAUCAGCCAUUGAAUGCCAAGUUCAUUGGCUAGAAUGUUACGCUUUCAGUGGAUUCAGAUAUAACAAUUCCUAUACGCGCUGAAACCGACGCGUUAUUUCUCUGAACGCACAAAAUGCAAA